GUCCCCAGCUUGCUCCCCCCACGCCCGUCGGUGCCAUGAUUUCACCUUGGCCAUUUGGAAGCCUCUGGAAGCAUUUUCAUCAGUGAAUAAAGAAAAGACAGCUGACCACUGUUGUGGGGUGGACUGGUAACUGUUUCUGCCAGUGGCUGCCACACUCCCGCUCAUCAAGGAUGAGAGGGAUUUCAAGGUCUUCGCCAAAGUGAGCGCCUGAAGGCAGAGCCUGAGUUGAGGCCGGGCCUCAGGUUGGCAGGGCAAGUGCUGGGCUCAGGAUUCUGACCUGGCCUGGCCCGAGCCUGGACCCUGGCAUGGGGCUUCUGAUCGCUGCUCAUAGGGCAUGGACUGUGAGCGACCAACAUCCUUGUGCUUGAGCGAAGAGGGAUUUUAGCAGAUCAGCCCUGAGAUGCUGGAGAGAAUCCCGGUGCUCCGAAGCCUACGAGAGCGAGAGAGGCGGGCUGGGAAGGACGUCAGCCUGUGGGCCGAUCUCCCGCACCCGGCACCCCUGUGCACCGUCGUGGGACCCCAGCUCGCACCCCGGCCAGGGUUGAGUGUCCCGGGGGCAGCCUCUGGCAGGAUGGGCAGCCCCCAGCAGCGGAGCCACGCUGGACAGACACAGGCCCUCCGCCACCGGCGUCUCUGACAGGACACUGCCGCCCUGUCCAUGGCUGUGCACACAGUGAGUGCGGAGCGGCUGCAGGCUCCUCGGUUGGCUGCGCACAACGGCGGCCUCUGUGCCCGGCCCAGCCACACUGUGCAGAAGGGGCCCGCACUCUGUGCCCAGGGCGCAGGCCGGGCGGCAACCUCAGGACGCAGGCGCCCUCUGGCCCGCGCCCCCCAGGCCCUGGCCACCCCCCAGGUGCUCUUCACCCCACUUUCCCGUUUUCCCACAGUGACCGCUGUGCCCGAGGGUGUCCAGGAGUCCUGGGCAUUGGAUAGCAGAGGCGGACACAUGGCCCUCACCCCACAUCCCAGCUCCCGUGUCCAGCCUGCCCAAGGCCAGCUCAGCCCUCAGUUGGGAGGCACAGCGCUAGGUGGCCACUCCUGGCGCUGGGGAGCCAGGCUGCUGGGUCCCCUCACUCGGGACCAGGACAAUCCAGAUUGCUGGGCAGGUAGCCGGAAGCGGUCUGUCACUUUAUAUCUGUGGAGGUGGUACCAGAAAACUAGAAAUGGCCCCAAACGUGUCCACCCUCAGAUCUCCCACUGCCCCUUGCUUCCUCGAGGGGCAGCUCUUGUCCACACCAGGCAGGAGUCCCGGCCACAGAUGUGAUGGCAGGCUCCCAGGCACUCAGCAUCAUGAGGCACACUUCACGUGAGGGUGAUGUGGGGCAUGGGGGGAGCUCCCACGGGCACGGGGUCCCAUCCUGAGUGGGGAGCAGUGUUGCCACGGGACGACACCACCUGCAGAAGCUGCAGCUGUGGACCCUAGAAGUGUACCUUCAGCUCCACGGGGGAGUGCAGAGUCUGGUCCACUGCCCCCUCCUGAGUGGUGCCGGGUCAGGGUGGCCAGGGGUGCACCUUCCUCCUCAUCCUCAGGCCCAGCUGGUCACCUCCACUUGAAUUUUCCUAUGUGCCAGGGGGUGGCACAGGUCUGUCAUCCCAGCACUCUGGGAGGCUGGGGCAGGAGGAUCGUGAGUUUGAGCAGCUUCGUGAGACCCUGUCUCAAAAUAAAAAAGGUAAAAAAGAUUUGGGUUGGAGCUC
ensembl:lncRNA